rnacentral:tRNA from 1 species
AUGGCUCAGAGGACAAAAGCACUUGCUAUGAAAGCAAGAGGGCCUGGGUUCAAAUCCCCAGU